AACACGUGGAUAAUCUACCCGACAGUCAGGGAUAACAUUUCGAAAGGAAUGCUAAUACCUGAUAAGCCUACGCCCUCCUCGGAGGAAGUAGGAAAGGUGGGGACCUUCGGGCCUGCCGUUGUUGGAUGAGUCCGCGGCCCAUUAGCUAGUUGGUAGGGUAAUGGCCUACCAAGGCUACGAUGGGUAGCUGGUCUGAGAGGAUGAUCAGCCACACUGGAACUGAGACACGGUCCAG
rnacentral:rRNA from 1 species